GACGAACGCUGGCGGCGUGCUUAACACAUGCAAGUCGAACGGAAAGGCCCUGCUUUUGGGGUGUGCUCGAGUGGCAAGCGGGUGUGUAACACGUGAGUAACCUGCCCUUGACUUGGGUAUAACUUCAGGAAACUGGGGCUAAUCCCGGAUAGGAGCUCCUGCUGCAUGGUGGGGGUUGGAAAUUUGCGGCGGUGGGGGGGGGACUCGCGGCUUAUCAUCUUGUGGGGGGGGUUGUGGUUUACCAAGGCUUUGGGGGGUAGCCGGCCGGAGAGGGUGGCCGGCACCAUUGGGACUGAGAUAGGCCCAAGCCUCUAACGGGGGGAAGCAGUGGGGAAUAUUGACCAAUGGGGGGAAGCCUGAGGAGGAACGGCGGCGUGGGGGAUGCCGCCCUUCGGGUUGUAACCGGCUUUCGCCUGUGACGAAGCGUGAGUGACGGUAAUGGGUAAAGAAGCACCGGCUAACUACGUG
rnacentral:rRNA from 1 species